rnacentral:misc_RNA from 1 species
AACGCACAUUGCGCCCUUUGGUAUUCCGAAGGGCAUGCCCGUCCGAGCGUCAUUUCACCACUCGAGCCCAGCUCGGUGUUGGGCGCCGCGUCCACCGCGCGCCUUAAAGUCCUCGGCCGUGUGGUCCAUCCCCGAGCGUUGUGGCAUCACGUCUCGCUUAGGGUUGAUGGUCUGCGUCGGCCGUUAAGCCUCCUCACAGGUUGACCUCGGAUCGGGUAGGGAUACCCGCUGAACUUAA